UACGGAGGAUGCAAGCGUUAUCCGGAUUUAUUGGGUUUAAAGGGUGCGCAGGCGGAUAGUUAAGUCAGCGGUGAAAUCUCACGGCUCAACCGUGGAACUGCCGUUGAUACUGGCUGUCUGGAGUACGGACGGCGCCGGCGGAAUGUGUCAUGUAGCGGUGAAAUGCUUAGAUAUUACACAGAACACCAAUUGCGUAGGCAGCUUACUGGGCCGACACUGACGCUGAGGCACGAAAGCGUGGGGAUCAAACAGGA
rnacentral:rRNA from 1 species